rnacentral:rRNA from 20 species
AAAUUGAAGAGUUUGAUCAUGGCUCAGAUUGAACGCUGGCGGCAGGCCUAACACAUGCAAGU